rnacentral:rRNA from 1 species
UUUGAAGAUACGUUUUUGACGUUCCGGGUUGAACUAAAUCCUUUGGGAUAAGGUAUCAUGGAGGGUGAGAAUCCCGUAUAUACCAACCRUAGGGAUGUUAUUUAAUACGUUUCUAAGAGUCGAGUUGUUUGGGAAUGCAGCUCUAAAUGGGUGGUAAAUUUCACCUAAUGCUAAAUAUAAGCGAGAGACCGAUAGCGAACAAGUACAGUGAUGGAAAGAUGAAAAGAACUUUGAAAAGAGAGUUAAAUAGUAYGUGAAAUUGUUGAAAGGGAAACGAUUGAAGUCAGUCAUGCCRGUGGGAAUCAACUUAGAGGAAACUCUGAGUGCACUUCUUCGCUUGGCAGGUCAACGUCGAUUUUGGAUGUCAUAAAAUGAUUGGGGGAAGGUAGCYCYUUCGGGAGUGUUAUAGCCCUUGGUAGAUGUGAUGUCUGGGAUCGAGGAUUGCAAUGGAUACCCUUUGGGGCUAGCCGCCUGAUCUCUAAUYGGUAUUGGGUUACGGAUAGCAUGCUGACCGUGAUCUAAUUAUUGGUUAAAAGGUUAG